AUUGAACGCUGGCGGAAUGCUUUACACAUGCAAGUCGAACGGCAGCACGGACUUCGGUCUGGUGGCGAGUGGCGAACGGGUGAGUAAUGUAUCGGAACGUGCCCAGUCGUGGGGGAUAACGUAGUGAAAAUUACGCUAAUACCGCAUACGAUCUAUGGAUGAAAGCGGGGGAUCGCAAGAACUAGCGCGAUUGGAGCGGCCGAUAUCAGAUUAGGUAGUUGGUGGGGUAAAGGCCCACCAAGCCAACGAUCUGUAGCUGGUCUGAGAGGACGACCAGCCAGACUGGAACUGAGACACGGUCCAGACUCCUACGGGAGGCAGCAGUGGGGAAUUUUGGACAAUGGGCGAAAGCCUGAUCCAGCCAUUCCGCGUGCAGGAUGAAGGCCCUCGGGUUGUAAACUGCUUUUGUACAGAACGAAAAGGUUUCUACUAAUACUAGGAGCUCAUGACGGUACUGUAAGAAUGAGCACCGGCUAACUACGUGCCAGCCGCCGCGGUAA
rnacentral:rRNA from 1 species